UCAAAAUGCGGAUGUAAAGUUGAGCACCAAAGGAAGCUGAAAAUAGAAACUAGACUCUCCUUAUGCCUUUUAUCUAGGUUGAACAAAUCCAGUUUCCUCAGCUUCUUGUCCUAUGUCAUGUGCUUCACCAGAGUGAUGGAACUUUUCUGUUUAAAGAAUACAAAUCCUGUCUCAAAAAAGAGAGGUGAAAUGGCAGAAAUAAAAGAAAUAAUAGUGCAAACAUUUUUUUCUCUUCUGUGUAUAAGGAAUGCUAGGAGCAUGUGGUCAUUGCACAUUUGGGAAAU